rnacentral:rRNA from 1 species
GAUGAACGCUGGCGGCGUGCCUAAUACAUGCCAGUCGAGCGAACGGACGAGAAGCUUGCUGCUCUGAUGUUAGCCGCGGACGGGAGAGUAACACGUGGAAAACCUACCUAUAAGACUGGGAUCACCUCGGGAAACCGGAGCUAAUACCGGAUAAUCUUUUGAACCGCAUGGGGCAAAAGAGAAAGACGGUCGUGCUGUCACUUAUCGAUGCAUCCGCGCUGCAUUAGCUAGUUGGUAAGGUAACGGCUUACCAAGGCGACGAUGCAUAACCGAACUGUCAGGGUGAUCGGCCACACUGGAACUGAGACACGGUCCAGAGUCCUAAGGGAGGCAGCAGUAGGGAAUCUUCCGCAAUGGGCGAAAACCUGACGGAGCAACGCCGCGUGAGGGAUGAAGGUCUUCGGAUCGUAAAACUCUGUUAUUAGGGAAGAACAGAUGUGUAAGUAAAUGUGCACAGCUUGACGGUACCUAGUCAGAAAGCCACGGCUAACUACGUG